UGAGUACAUUUUUAAAGCUGUACUUUUACUUGUACUUAAGUACAAAUUAAGCAAAAUAAUCUACUUCGUUACAUUUAAAUCAUAGUUCGUUACUGAGUACACCCAAUUUGAAUUGAUAUUCAAACCUUUGACGGCAUUUCAGUAGCCAAUAAAGAUAUUCGAUCGCAAACGGACCAAUAAAAGCCCUGAUAUCUGAACCAGGAAAAGCAGCUGCUGCAGCACGAGCUGAUCGGACAGUGAGGGAGCUCCGCGUAACUAUGGAGUCAAAGUUUGGAGAAAAAAACGGCAUGUAUCUACCAUAUAAACACCGAUAGCCUACGCAUUGCGUCUCGCUCUCUACUCCGACAGUGAGUUUGAAACGCAUCGCCUCCUGUCAAUUACAGAGUCUGAAUCUGAAUAUCCGCGCGGGAUUGCAGGUCUCUGCAGCAAAGUAAUGGGAGUUACCAGAUCGGGGCGUUUUUUGACCAUGUUACUUGAUUGGCUGACGUCAUAGUGACGAGACCUCAAUCUCGUUUCUGCGCGUCUCACUUUGUGGCGCUGUUUUGACAUGGGGGUGGAGUCAGGGGACGGGGGCGUGUCCAACAGGCCUGGGCAUGCCUCCCUGGAAGUGACGUCAUCGGCCCGAGACGCAGAUCACAGCUGAUCCAGGCACCAUCAUUGAGC